rnacentral:rRNA from 1 species
UACGUAGGGUGCGAGCGUUGUCCGGAAUUAUUGGGCGUAAAGAGCUCGUAGGCGGUCUGUCGCGUCGAUCGUGAAAACUUGGGGCUUAACCCUGAGCUUGCGGUCGAUACGGGCAUGACUGGAGUUCGGCAGGGGAGACUGGAAUUCCUGGUGUAGCGGUGAAAUGCGCAGAUAUCGGGAGGAACACCGGUGGCGAAGGCGGUUCUCUGGGCCUGACCUGACGCUGAGGAGCGAAAGCGUGGGGAGCGAACAGG